rnacentral:rRNA from 1 species
UCGACGAUGAAUCUUCUAGCUUGCUAGAAGUGGAUUAGUGGCGCACGGGUGAGUAAUGCAUAGGUUAUGUGCCCUUUAGUCUGGGAUAGCCACUGGAAACGGUGAUUAAUACUGGAUACUCCCUACGGGGGAAAGUUUUUCGCUAAAGGAUCAGCCUUUGUCCUAUCAGCUUGUUGGUGAGGUAAUGGCUCACCAAGGCUAUGACGGGUAUCCGGCCUGAGAGGGUGAUCGGACACACUGGAACUGAGACACGGUCCAGACUCCUACGGGAGGCAGCAGUAGGGAAUAUUGCUCAAUGGGGGAAACCCUGAAGCAGCAACGCCGCGUGGAGGAUGAAGGUUUUAGGAUUGUAAACUCCUUUUGUUAGAGAAGAUUAUGACGGUAUCUAACGAAUAAGCACCGGCUAACUCCGUGCCAGCAGCCGCGGUAAUACGGAGGGUGCAAGCGUUACUCGGAAUCACUGGGCGUAAAGAGUGCGUAGGCGGGGUAAUAAGUCAGAUGUGAAAUCCUGUAGCUUAACUACAGAACUGCAUUUGAAACUGUUACUCUGGAGUGUGGGAGAGGUAGGUGGAAUUCUUGGUGUAGGGGUAAAAUCCGUAGAGAUCAAGAGGAAUACUCAUUGCGAAGGCGACCUGCUGGAACAUUACUGACGCUGAUGCACGAAAGCGUGGGGAGCAAACAGGAUUAGAUACCCUGGUAGUCCACGCCCUAAACGAUGGAUGCUAGUUGUUGCCUUGCUUGUCAGGGCAGUAAUGCAGCUAACGCAUUAAGCAUCCCGCCUGGGGAGUACGGUCGCAAGAUUAAAACUCAAAGGAAUAGACGGGGACCCGCACAAGCGGUGGAGCAUGUGGUUUAAUUCG